ensembl:lincRNA
UUGGCGUAACCCCACGCUGGCGGUGGUAUGAAAGUGUAGCUCACACUAUUACGGGCAGUGCACGAUAAAUGACUGCUUCUGGUUUUCCACGUUCAGCACGCUACACUUUUCAUCAUUAUUUUAGAGUAUACUUGUACCAGUCAGUGCUUACUAGAGAAACAGACUUCAUGCACGACAUACAAGUAUCUAAGAAUUAACAAGCUCGGCGGUCAGCGGAAAGCGCAAGGGGCCGUCUGCACACUUUGGUCCCAAGGGUCCAGCCGAAGCCUGGGGCCCACUCUGGUACCGAAGGGAGUGGAGACCAGGAGGCAAGGGUUCUCACCGGAAGCCGGAAGGGGCUGUGCGGAGGCUGGAGAGUCUACGCUGGAAGCCGGAAGCCGGAAGGGACUGUGGAGGCUGGAGAGCAUCCGCCGGAAGCCCGGGGACGUGUCCGCCAUAGGGAAGAUUUCAGAAGAGAGCCCUAGAAGCACAUACUGACUUGUUCCUACAGACGGACAGAAGGGGAAGUCACCAUAAGCCUGUGUCAGCAGCUGCCGCUAAAGAGAGGACCAGCCUUUGUGCUAAAACGCCUCCAAACUUGAAGAAAGACACUUUUUGCUAAGAAGUUAGUUGGCAUAGUUAUCUCGAUUCCUCUGUGUGUUGGGGUGUACAUGAAGAAUACAACUCUACCACCCCCAUCACUCGGAAUAAAGAUCUCUCAGCAAUCCGCUGGGGGAAUCCAAGCUUGUUUUAUGUAUUUCUAACUUGCUUGUAAACAGCCCACUUGUUCCUUCCUUGUCCCCCCCACCCCCCUGGUACCAGGAAUCGAACUCACGACCUUGCGCUUGCCAGGCAGGCGCUGUGCCUCUGAGCUAAAUCCCCAUCCCCAUCCUUCCUUGAAAUGCACAGGAAAUGCCUGUAGCUUUGGCAAUCAACUUCCCUUCUUUUUCCACACUCCUGGUCCCAAAGCGUGUACUGACCAUGUGAAAGCCUUUACCCAUCUUCUCUCUUCGCUCUCGUAAACACUCGUGGCCACAUUUUGUAUAGACUAAAAACAGUUCCAUUUUUAAUCAGUUGGCUUAGAAGCAGCAUAUGUGACCUUUGUCAGAUAUCCUUCAAUACCCAACUUCUUCUAAACUUCUAUCGUGACUGUUUUGUGACCUCGUUUUUUGAGACAAGGUCUUGCUAUGUAGUCCAGGCUGAUCUUGAAAUCAUUACGUAGCUUAGGCUGGCCUUGAACUGGUGGUGAUCCUCUUGCCUCAUCCUCUCAAAUGCUGGUAUUAUAGGAAGAAAAGUUAGACAGAAAUAAGUAUAAGGUACAGUCAGAGAGGGACUGGGUUUUCAAGGAAAUCAGCAGAAAAAAUAGACAUCAGAAUUGUGGUUGGCACAUCUGAAGGAGUCCAGGCCUCAAAAUAAAGAUGCAUUGGGAUAUGGUGGUGCACACCUGCAAUCCCAGCACUUGGGAGGCUGAGGCAGGAGGAUCGAUGUGAGUUCAAGGCCAGCCUGAACUGCAGAGUGAGACCCUGUCUCAGAAAGACCAAAAAAAAAAAAAAAAAAAAAAAAAAAAAAAAAAAAGUGAUGCAAUCUCCUGAAGGGAUAAAUAAUAAUUUUGAGAUUAUACUGUAAUCAGCACAUCUGGUCCAGUAAGUCCAGAUAGGCAUCAGUGGCCCAGGUGGGUGACCAGAGCAUCCGGACCUAUCUCUUGCUACAAAUGCGUUUGU